rnacentral:rRNA from 1 species
AGAUUGAACGCUGGCGGCAUGCCUAACACAUGCAAGUCGAACGGGAGUAGCAAUACUCUAGUGGCGGACGGGUGAGGAAUACGUAGGAAUUUGCCCUUAAGUGGGGGAUAACCCGGGGAAACCCGGAUUAAUACCGCAUGACCUCGAAAGAGCAAAGUGGGGGAUCGCAAGACCUCACGCUUUUGGAGAAGCCUACGUCAGAUUAGCUAGUUGGUGAGGUAAUGGCUCACCAAGGCGACGAUCCGUAACUGGUCUGAGAGGAUGAUCAGUCACACCGGAACUGAGACACGGUCCGGACUCCUACGGGAGGCAGCAGUGGGGAAUAGUUGGACAAGUGGGCGACAAGCCUAG